AGUGAACGCUGGCGGUAGGCCUAACACAUGCAAGUCGAACGGCAGCACAGUAAGAGCUUGCUCUUACGGGUGGCGAGUGGCGGACGGGUGAGGAAUACAUCGGAAUCUACUUUUUCGUGGGGGAUAACGUAGGGAAACUUACGCUAAUACCGCAUACGACCUACGGGUGAAAGCAGGGGAUCUUCGGACCUUGCGCGAUUGAAUGAGCCGAUGUCGGAUUAGCUAGUUGGCGGGAUAAAGGCCCACCAAGGCGACGAUCCGUAGCUGGUCUGAGAGGAUGAUCAGCCACACUGGAACUGAGACACGGUCCAGACUCCUACGGGAGGCAGCAGUGGGGAAUAUUGGACAAUGGGCGCAAGCCUGAUCCAGCCAUACCGCGUGGGUGAAGAAGGCCUUCGGGUUGUAAAGCUCUUUUGUUGGGAAAGAAAAGCAGCAGGUUAAUACCCCGCUGUUCUGACGGUACCCAAAGAAUAAGCACCGGCUAACUUCGUG
rnacentral:rRNA from 1 species